rnacentral:rRNA from 1 species
AGGAAAAGAAACUAACCAGGAUUUCCCUAGUAGCGGCGAGCGAACAGGAAAGAGCCCAGCACCGAAUCCCGCGGUUCCGCCGCAGGGAGAUGUGGUGUUCGGGAGGACCCGCUUAUCCCGAGGCGUCGCGACGCGUCCAAGUCCAUCUUGAAUGGGGCCACUUACCCGCAGAGGGUGCCAGGCCCGUAGCGACCGCCGCGCGUCUCGGGAGGGUCUCUCCUUAGAGUCGGGUUGCUUGAGAGUGCAGCUCUAAGCGGGUGGUAAACUCCAUCUAAGGCUAAAUACGACCACGAGACCGAUAGCGAACAAGUACCGUGAGGGAAAGUUGAAAAGAACUUUGAAGAGAGAGUUCAAGAGUACGUGAAACCGUUCAGGGGUAAACCUAAGAAACCCAAAAGAUCGAACGGGGAGAUUCAUCGUCAGCGGCGCCGGCUUCGCGUCGGUCGGCGAUGUCCCGCGGGGCCCUCGCGGCUCGCGCGCGGACACGCUGCCGGUGCCUAACGACGUCCGGCGCUCGUCGUCGUGCACUUCUCCCCUAGUAGAACGUCGCGACCCGCUGGGUGUCGGUCUACGGCCCGAGUGCGGCGACUGACGCGCCGCCGGUAAAACGGCGCGCGUCAAACCCUCGGUCGCCCGGCCGGCUGCCCGGCGGUACGCGCAAGGUAUCAGGCCGCAGCCCCCCGCCGGCGCCCGCCGUCCUACGACGGGGGCGCGUCGGCGACGCGGGUGCGUCGAGGCCGUCGCAAGCGCGAGCCACUUGGUACACGGAGGCACAACGGACCUGGCGCCGUCACCGGUCCUGGCCCGCUGUUGGUCGCACGGUUAACCUUCGACAGGCCCGCGAACGUCCCCCGCCGCGGGGGGGGCGACCCCCCCCCGCGCGUCCGGGGACCGAUACCGGUCGGCGACGCUACUGCUUUGGGUACUCUUAGGACCCGUCUUGAAACACGGACCAAGGAGUCUAACAUGUACGCGAGUCAUUGGGACCGAGUGCGAUGCCUAAAGGCGCAAUGAAAGUGAAGGUCGGCCCCGGUUGCCGACCGAGGGAGGAUGGGCCGCGUCGCGGCGCGGCCCCGCACUCCCGGGGCGUCUCGUUCUCAUCGCGAGAAGAGGCGCACCCAGAGCGUACACGUUGGGACCCGAAAGAUGGUGAACUAUGCCUGGUCAGGACGAAGUCAGGGGAAACCCUGAUGGAGGUCCGUAGCGAUUCUGACGUGCAAAUCGAUCGUCGGAACUGGGUAUAGGGGCGAAAGACUAAUCGAACCAUC